CUUCCAGAUAAACGUCUUUGGCAGAAAUACUAAAAUUGGAACGAUACAGAGAAGAUUAGCAUGCCCCCUGCACAAGGAUGGUACCAAAAUUUGUGAAUCCUUCCAUAAUUUU
rnacentral:snRNA from 1 species